UACGUAGGAACCGAGCGUUGUCCGAAUUUACUGGGCGUAAAGGGCGCGUAGGCGGUCCGUUAAGUCUCAUGUGAAAUCUCCCGGCUCAACUGGGAGGGGUCAUGGGAUACUGGCAGACUUGAGGGCAGUAGAGGGAAGCGGAAUUCCCGGAGUAGUGGUGAAAUGCGUAGAUACCGGGAGGAACACCAGUGGCGAAGGCGGCUUCCUGGACUGUGCCUGACGCUGGGGCGCGAAAGCGUGGGGAGCAAACCGG
rnacentral:misc_RNA from 1 species